rnacentral:rRNA from 1 species
GUACUCAGCGCGGCGUGCCUAAUACAUGCAAGUCGAGCGAACAGAUAAGGAGCUUGCUCCUUUGACGUUAGCGGCGGACGGGUGAGUAACACGUGGAUAACCUACCUAUAAGACUGGGAUAACUUCGGGAAACCGGAGCUAAUACCGGAUAAGAUUUUGAACCGCAUGGUUCAAUAGUGAAAGACGGCCUUGCUGUCACUUAUAGAUGGAUCCGCGCCGUAUUAGCUAGUUGGUAAGGUAACGGCUUACCAAGGCAACGAUACGUAGCCGACCUGAGAGGGUGAUCGGCCACACUGGAACUGAGACACGGUCCAGACUCCUACGGGAGGCAGCAGUAGGGAAUCUUCCGCAAUGGGCGAAAGCCUGACGGAGCAACGCCGCGUGAGUGAUGAAGGUCUUCGGAUCGUAAAACUCUGUUAUCAGGGAAGAACAAACGUGUAAGUAACUGUGCACGUCUUGACGGUACCUGAUCAGAAAGCCACGGCUAACUACGUGCCAGCAGCCGCGGUAAUACGUAGGUGGCAAGCGUUAUCCGGAAUUAUUGGGCGUAAAGCGCGCGUAGGCGGUUUCUUACGUCUG